rnacentral:tRNA from 1 species
GCCUGGGUGGCUCAGUCGGUUGAGCGUCUGACUUCAGCUCAGGUCAUGAUCUCGCGGUCUGUGAGUUCGAGCCCCGCAUCAGGCU